UAUUUAUCAUAAUUGCAUGAGCAAGAUCUUUAUAAUUAGUCUUUCUAUGUAAUAUAUAUAUACUUAGACAAAUAUAUAUAUAUAUUUGUUUACAUUUGAGUUUAAUGAGUUUAAGUCUAGACCCUAUAUUUUAUGGGGUUCAGAAGCGGAAAUCUGCCAUCUUAAAUUUUGUUUUUCCACAGUAUUCCCUACGGUGCCCUUCACACUGAUGUAUGAACUCAAGACAGGCCCACUUCUCUGCAGAAGAAUGUCCUAAUAUCAAAAAUGUGUCUCUGAUGAAUGUUGGACCAAAGGGAGUAAACAGAACCCAAGACAUCUAACAAAAUGUUCCCCAGAAUUAAGAUGAACACCAAAGAGAAUAGAUAAUUUUAUGGAAACUAUGUUGGUGGGAUCCACUUCCAGCUGUGUGUGUCUGCACACCUCAUUCCUCUUGGUCGUGAGACAAGAACUCAGAACUUGCUGAAAUGCAGAAGUGAAAGAGCAGUAUCACUCCAUCCUGCUGAACUACGGGAGUGAAGAAGCCACAGUAGGACUUUACUAGAAGUGAGGAUUGGAGAACAGAAUCUUUCCAAAAGGAACACCUCGAAUACUCACUUCAUCAAGUCUCUGCAGACCAAAACCCAUCUCUGCUAACCAUACCCAUCUUAAAGAUACAGGAACAACUGCCAUGUUGUGGAGAGAGCAGAAAACAGCAGGCAAUCUCCCAGCCCUGAGAAUGGCCUCCUCUUCCCAACAGCCAGCAGGAAGGCUGGAAUCUCAGUCCUACGACCAAAAGAAACUCUAUUCUAACAGGCCAAAUCAGUCUGGAAGAAGAUCUUAAGCUUCAGCUCACAGAUUCUCUGCCUGUGUCGUAUGGCUAUUGCCAGGGGAUGAACGAGGGUUGCUCUUCGCAAUUCAAGACUGUCUUUCCUACCCUCUUCAGUGCCUCUUGAUGUUAAAACCAGGUACUGUUAUCGCUCAUUUGAUUUUUGGUUCUUAUGAAGGUGGCGUUCUGUGUGAAUAGUUGUUUAGUUUCGUGUUCCUGUAGGGGGAGGGAUGGUCUUUAGAGGGAGUCUACUUAGCCAUCUUGCUCUGCCUCCUCUCCAGAAUCUCUUUCUUAAUCAAAUGCAGUAACUUCCUACAUUCCUCUGCUGUAUCCAGUCUUAUCUCCCAUGAAUCUGUUUAUACCGUAGCAGAGAAAGUGAUCUACCUUUUAAAAAACCUGACCAUGUUGCUGUCACCAAAACAUUCUAUUGUUUUUUAGCUCCUCCUCAUGUACAAAUUCUCAAACUUCUUAACAAUUUUCUUUCAUAACUUUGUACUUACUGAUCUAUGUCAACUUUUUUUUAAUCCUAGCUUUGCACUUUAUAUUUAACCACGCAGAACUCUUGUGAGACUGAGCCCUUAGCCUAUGAAAUCUGUCGCUAUCUCUGGAUAGAUACUUGUGUUGCUUCACCAAUACUGUGAUGUUUCUUGUCAUAAUUAUUUACUCUGUUCUUUUCUUCCUGAAAUGUCCUACAGUUUUCUUUAAUCAACUUCUCUUUAUCUUUUCUGUAUCAUAUCUAGUACCACUUCACAAUCCACAUUUCUGGUUCUCUCUCUAAUAACAUCCCAAGAAUUUCUCUAACACUGAACUUUGCUUCAUAAUAGUUAUCUAUGUGACUAUAAUUCUUGAAGAAAGAGACUGCCUCAUCUCUGAUUCUACAUUGCUUUAUGCAGUUUGUGUUAAUGGUAUAAAGAUAACAAAUAUUUAUUAACUAAAUGAGUACAGUGUAAGCUGUUAAAUUACUUGAGAAACAAAGUUGCUGAUAAUCUUUAUGAUCCUUAUUUUCUUUUAAUUAUUUUUUCAAGUUUUGUCUCUUAAUGCAGAGCUAAUGAAUACAUGGAAAUUCAACUCAAAUCAAAUUCAGAUUUGAGAUAAUCAACAGUAUGUUCUAUUGCCAAUUUUGCCCAAAUGGUAUAUUAUUCAGUUUCUCAUAAAUUGGCACCAAACUUACUUGUUACUUCACUUCCAAAAAAUAAUCUUAAACAUCAUAUCAGGUAACUGUGGUUUGCUUAUCCUUCAUAUUCAAUAAUUGGUCAUGAUUUCUUUUACCUCCUAAGAGAUUAAACAUCUAAAUCUUCUCUGCAAUGUUGUAUAUUUCUAUAGUUCAUUUCCAAAUAAUCAAAUAUCAUCCUAUUUCUUCAGUAUCUGUCAAAAUGUCAUCUCUGCUUUUAGAUUUACUAACUCAAAUUCAUCAUCCACGUGAUUUUUAUUCUUAUCUCUUUAAAUGAAAUUUAAUGCUGUAUGAUUUUUCCUUUAUUGAGCUUGGUGUCCAGAGAUCUAUAGGACUCUGGUGAGAGAGUGUUGGAAGUGAAGAUUGAAGGUUGACUUUUUCAGAAGGGCCUCAAUGAGUCUGGAUUCAAAACAAGAAGUGAGCUACUUCUUCAUUGAUAGGAUGGUUGGAAGUAAAACAAUAUCUGAGAGCAGAAAGCCCUCUUCUAUUUUUCUAGCUCAGUAGCGGUGAGAGUCUUUCAUCUGUAGCCUCCCAGGGAAGGAGUCCCAUGUACCUCUAAGAUCCUGAGGGUUCUGGCUAUGAAACAUAUGUAAACAUUAAAAUCAAAGUCUAGAUUCAUUGACAUAAUGAAAUUGCAGCUUUUCUGAUAGGCCUCAGGAAGAAGAGAGAGAAAAAUAAGAUGGAAAAUUUGAAGCACAUGGCAAGGGAAAAAAGCUGCUGAAAGAGACAGAUGGACACCUGAUUUGUUUUAAGCAUUUAGGAAGAUGCACUCAGAAAUUAGAUUAGAUGAGAGAAAAUUAAGACCAACUUUAAUGACUUAACAGGUUUAGGAAAAUUUGGAGGAAAAGAAUAGGAGCUUCAAAGGGGGCAAAGGGGACAGAUGGAGGAUCAGAAAUAACAAAACAAUUGAUUGAAGAAAAUUUGAACUAAAUGAAGAACUGUGUUUUCAUAUUGAGAAUACUCACUGGGUCAGUCCUAGGCUGCACUAAUGAGAAAAAAUUUCUAACUGGGCAAAGCCUGAUAGAAUUAAUGAUAAAGAAAAAAAUUUUAACUGUAUAUGUAAGCAUAAGUCAUCAGUAAAUAAAUAUAUUUGCAUUACCAGUGGUUAUAAAAUAUCACUUACUCAAGAUAUUAUUUGCAUCUCAGAUGCAGAAAGGUAUUUGAAGAUAUGCAAUAAUUCAAAAGCGUAUUACGUGGAAGGAUGAAUCCAAUUCCUGUUAUAUCAUUUUGGCCAGUAAAGAAAACUAACACAAGAACAGAAAACCAAACAUCGCAUGUUCUCACUCAUAAGUGGGAGUUGAACAAUGAGAACACUUGGCCCCCGGGAGGGUGGACAUCCCACACUGGGGCCUGUCGGGGGGUGGGGGGCUAGGGGAGGGAUAGCAUUAGGAGAAAUACCUAAUGUAUAUGACGGGUUGAUGGGUGCAGCAAACCACCAUGGCACGUGUAUACCUAUGUAACAAACCUGCACGUCCUGCACAUGUACCCCAGAACUUAAAAUAUAAUAAAAAAAGAAGGCACAACUUUUAUUUUUUUUAGCAUUUCUUUUGUAAGCAUGUGUUUUAUAUACUUUAUGCUAUGCAGACAUUAGUCAGUGUUUUUAGCAACUUCCAGAAAAUACAUGAGGAGAGUGUACUUUUGAAGCUAAAAUACAUGGCUUCAAUUAUGUUUUGAAAUGAAAGACUUUUGUUGUAAAAUUGUUGAAUUCUUCAUUAAAUGACUCGGGUUUUAAGACAGCUGUAAUAAUAACUAACAUUACAUUACUAAUGUGAUUAUGAUCUUCCUGUGUAUUACAAACUAUAUUUCAUGCUGGGUGAUGGGACUUAGGGCUUACUGUGAGAUGAUUCUAGCUUCAUAGCCCAGAUUGCUGGUUAUUAGACUCCAGCUCAUACGGCAUCACUCUUUCUUAUUCUUAGCAAGAACAUGGACAAGUUUUCAUUUUCAGUGUACCUUCCUCACCCUACAGAACGGUUGAGAGGUUAUAUCUUAGGCCUGUUAAAAUCAUGGUUGCUUUCAGCCGGGCCAGUGGCUUAUGCCUGUAAUCCCACCACCUUGGAAGGCUGAGGCGGGAGGAUCAUGAGGUCAGGAGAUCGAGA
rnacentral:lncRNA from 1 species